rnacentral:lncRNA from 1 species
GAGGGUAUUAAAAUCUUAUUUAUUCCAUAUUUACAACAUGUCCUGUUUUACUGAAGGUCCUGGAGGACAAGGAUUUAAGAAUAAGGCAAGUACCAAUGCCUCUCCAAUAUGUAUUCAGGUCUGACAAGCCCCAUACAAGUUCUGUUUCUAUAACAGCUAUUUCAAAAAAGGAAAUGAUCUGAUAUUGGUCCACAACAAACGAUUCAUAAUAUAUUUUCCUUACACUGACAAUGUGUAAUGUCAAUUGAUUGCAAAGUUGCUUUUUUCAUAAGAGCUGAAACUGAAUUGAUACGCUGAAGUAUCAAGUUAUGUGAUAUUAGAAAGGGUGAUAUUUCUGCCGGAGCAAGCAGCUGAGCUAGAGAUGGAAGCCUUGUUCUGCCCUGGCUGAGAGGUACACCCUGAACAACGCUAGUGAUGGAAGCCUUGUUCUGCCCUGGCUGAGAGGAACACCCUGAACAACGCUAGUGAUGGAAGCCUUGUUCUGCCCUGGCUGAGAGGUUCACCCCGAACAACGCUAGUGAUGGAAGCCUUGUUCUGCCCUGGCUGAGAGGUUCACCCCGAACAACGCUAGUGAUGGAAGCCUUGUUCUGCCCUGGCUGAGAGGUUCACCCCGAACAACGCUAGUGAUGGAAGCCUUGUUCUGCC